GCCACCCACAUUUGAGCCGGGCUCAAAACCAUGACCCUUGGUUCAGCAGGGCCCUCUCUACCCUCCAUCAGAGUUCAAUGGCACAUUCCACCCAGGCAAAAGAAGGGAUGUUGAAGAGUGUGAUCUGAGGGGAUUCCCAAGGGCCAAAGAGAUCUGAAGCGCCACAUUGCUCCCCAGCUCUGAGGCUCGCCACCCCUGCCCUAGUGAUUUCAUUCUUUCAUUCCUCCCCAGGCCCCAACUUGAGAUGUGUUUUUAUUGCAUUGUAUUUAUCACAUCUAUGUACCGCCUUCUUGCCCAGGGAACUCGAGGUGACAUACAUGGUUCUCUGCCCCAUUUCACAGAAUCAUAGAAUUGUAGAGUUGGAAGGGGGAUCCCCAAAGGUCAUCUAGUCCAACCCCCUGCAAUGCAGGGAUCUCAGCUAAAGCAUCCAUGACAGGUGGCUCCUCCAACCUCUGCUUAAAAACCUCCGAGGAAGGAGAGCCCACAGCCUCCUGUGGGAGACCGUUCCCCUCUGGCUUACUGCCAGAGCUGUUUGUCCUCAUAACAACCCUGUGAAGUUGGUUGGGCUGAGAGGAGGGGACUGGGGCAAGGUCACCCAGUGGGGAUUUGAAGCCUGGUCUCCCAGGUCAUAGUCCAACCCUCUAACCACUACUCCUCACUGCCUCUGGGCUGAUCUAAGUAUUGAUAGCACAAGAGGUGUCGGAUCGGGGUGCAUGUGGAUCUCGCCAGUUCCAUGCCAAGCGGCAGGUAGGUCUUUGCCACAGCUGUCUCCGGCACUCCAUAAAAAGCCUUGAGCUUGCUGCCGCUGCAGUGAGACGCAGAAGUAAUUAGUGCUGCUUUCUACAGUGAGUAAAACCCAAAUGUCAAACAAUGCCAGAGCUAUUAAGUCCUCUUUUUUAC